GCGCUGGUAUGGAUGGCGUACCAGCGCUGCCCGGAAAGCAGAAGGUGCGGGUUCGAGUCCCGCCUGGUGCA
rnacentral:tRNA from 1 species